AGUGAACGCUGGCGGUAGGCCUAACACAUGCAAGUCGAACGGCAGCACAGUAAGAGCUUGCUCUUACGGGUGGCGAGUGGCGGACGGGUGAGGAAUACAUCGGAAUCUACUUUUUCGUGGGGGAUAACGUAGGGAAACUUACGCUAAUACCGCAUACGACCUACGGGUGAAAGCAGGGGAUCUUCGGACCUUGCGCGAUUGAAUGAGCCGAUGUCGGAUUAGCUAGUUGGCGGGGUAAAGGCCCACCAAGGCGACGAUCCGUAGCUGGUCUGAGAGGAUGAUAGGCCACACGGGAACUGAGACACGGUCCAGACUCCUACGGGAGGCAGCAGUGGGGAAUAUUGGACAAUGGGCGCAAGCCUGAUCCAGCCAUACCGCGUGGGUGAAGAAGGCCUUCGGGUUGUAAAGCCCUUUUGUUGGGAAAGAAAAGCAGCAGGUUAAUACCCCGCUGUUCUGACGGUACCCAAAGAAUAAGCACCGGCUAACUUCGUG
rnacentral:rRNA from 1 species